rnacentral:misc_RNA from 1 species
GAAAUGCGAUAAGUAAUGUGAAUUGCAGAAUUCAGUGAAUCAUCGAAUCUUUGAACGCACAUUGCGCUCGCCAGUAUUCUGGCGAGCAUGCCUGUUCGAGCGUCAUUUCAACCAUCAAGCUCUGCUCGCGUUGGGGAUCCGCGGCUGCCCGCGGUCCCUCAAAAACAGUGGCGGGCUCGCUAGUCACACCGAGCGUAGUAACUCUACAUCGCUAUGGUCGUGCGGCGGGUUCUUGCCGUAAAACCCCCAAUUUCUAAGGUUGACCUCGGAUCAGGUAGGAAUACCCGCUGAACUUAAGC